rnacentral:rRNA from 1 species
AGUGUUAUCGAAUCGCAUUGGUUUGAUAACUAAGUCCAACGGUAUAAGAUGAGCAUGCGUCCCAUUAGUUAGUUGGUAAGGUAACGGCUUACCAAGACAAUGAUGGGUAGGGGUCCUGAGAGGGAGAUCCCCCACACUGGUACUGAGACACGGACCAGACUCCUACGGGAGGCAGCAGUGAGGAAUAUUGGUCAAUGGGCGCAAGCCUGAACCAGCCAUGCCGCGUGCAGGAAGACGGUCCUAUGGAUUGUAAACUGCUUUAUACAGGAAGAAACCCUCCCACGUGUGGGAGCUUGACGGUACUGUAGGAAUAAGGAUCGGCUAGCUCCGUG